rnacentral:lncRNA from 1 species
AUGCGCUUCCUGCAGCUCUACCAUGAGGACCUUCUUGCGGGCCUGGGAGACGUCGCUCUCUUGCCACUUGAAGGACCGGAUAUGACUGGCUUUCGGCUCUGUGGAGCCCAGGCUUCCUGCCAGGCGGCUGAGGAGUUUCUGCGGAGCCUGCUGGGCAGCAUUAGCUGCCAUGUGUUGUGCCUGGAGCACCCGGGCAGCGCCAGGUUUCUCCUGGGCCCAGAAGGGCAGCACCUUCUCCAGGGGCUGGAGGCUCAGUUCCAGUGUGUCUUUGGGACAGAGCGCCUGGCCACAGCCACGUUGGACACAGGCCUUGAAGAGGUGGACCCUACCGAGGCCCUCCCAGUGCUCCCUGGCAACGCCCACACCCUGUGGACCCCAGACAGUACAGGUGGUGACCAGGAGGACGUGAGCCUGGGUAGGGCUCCCUGGGAGCCCUCAGCACAUCCUGUGGCCCUCACUUGACCUCACCCCCUGCCCUGCUCUGUGCUCCCAUCUGUCUACUGACCCAUCUUAGGCCCACCCUGUACCCUAAAAACUUGCUCCCCAUCUUUCAUCCAUUCCAACUCCUCCUGGGUCCAGCC